AACGUAGGUGGCGAGCGUUAUCCGGAAUUACUGGGCGUAAAGAGCGCGCAGGCGGUCGUUCAAGUCGCGUGUGAAAGCCCCCGGCUCAACUGGGGAGGGUCACGCGAUACUGAUCGACUCGAAGGCAGGAGAGGGUAGUGGAAUUCCCGGUGUAGUGGUGAAAUGCGUAGAUAUCGGGAGGAACACCAGUGGCGAAGGCGACUACCUGGCCUGUUCUUGACGCUGAGGCGCGAAAGCUAGGGGAGCAAACGGG
rnacentral:rRNA from 1 species